AGUCGCCGCGGGAAUACAGAGGGUGCAAGCGUUAAUCGGAAUUACUGGGCGUAAAGCGCGCGUAGGUGGUUUGUUAAGUUGGAUGUGAAAGCCCCGGGCUCAACCUGGGAACUGCAUCCAAAACUGGCAAGCUAGAGUACGGUAGAGGGUGGUGGAAUUUCCUGUGUAGCGGUGAAAUGCGUAGAUAUAGGAAGGAACACCAGUGGCGAAGGCGACCACCUGGACUUAUACUGACACUGAGGUGCGAAAGCGUGGGGAGCAAACAGGAUUAGAUACCCCCGUAGUCCCUGUCUCUUAUACC
rnacentral:rRNA from 1 species